rnacentral:lncRNA from 1 species
ACGGAGGAAGACUUGCCAUUACUAGUACACAACAGGGUAGAUCAUCCACUAGUUGUGCACCUGCGUAUGUCACUGGUCCCGGGUUGGAGCUGACGUAUGACUGAUGAACCCAAAAUGAAGAUUCUCCUUUGGUACUGCCGGGGGUGCAGCAACUAAGAAUUCUGGAACAAUUUCAAAGACAUUCUCAACUCGAACUAUCCUUUUUUUCCUCACUAAAACGCACAUAUAGAGCUACUACGAGCUCAUGGAAUUUAUUGGUUUCACUGACUUAUUUGAAAUUAGAGCAGAUGGCUACUCAGGUGGAGUCGUGCUAAUGUGGAAGCAUGAAGAGUUGGAGAUGGAUCCAGUAGCAGUUACUGACCAGGAGAUCCAUGCAAACAUCCAGGUAAGUAGAACUUCAAAACCUUGGCUAGUUUCCUUAGUUUAUGCCAGCACUUUAUUAAUAAAUAGAAAAAUUCUAUGAAAUAAUCCACAAAUAGUUGCUAAAAAUAAUACCAACCCCUGAUUAUUAUGUGGAGACUUUAAUGACAUCAGAACUGCCUCCAAAAGUAUAGAUGUAGGCCCAAGAAGUACUUCUUUUUAUAUUGUCUUGAUGCUACUGAUAUGACUGACUUGGGUUUUGUGUGUCCACGCUUUAGAUGGACAAAUAAAAGAAAAAAACAGCAGCAACAAAUCUUGGAAAGAUUGGACAGAUUUCUUGAAAACUCGGACUGGGUGGAAAUGUUCCCGGAUGCCACUAUCACAGACAUGCCACAUACACAUCCAGACCACU